rnacentral:rRNA from 1 species
CCUACGGGACGCACCAGUGGGGAAUAUUGGACAAUGGGCGCAAGCCUGAUCCAGCCAUGCCGCGUGAGUGAAGAAGGCCUUAGGGUUGUAAAGCUCUUUCACCGGUGAAGAUAAUGACGGUAACCGGAGAAGAAGCCCCGGCUAACUUCGUGCCAGCAGCCGCGGUAAUACGAAGGGGGCUAGCGUUGUUCGGAAUUACUGGGCGUAAAGCGCGCGUAGGCGGAUAGAUAAGUCAGAGGUGAAGUCCAGGGGCUCAACCCCGGAAUUGCCUUUGAUACUGUUUAUCUUGAGUGCAGAGGAGGUAAGUGGAAUUCCGAGUGUAGAGGUGAAAUUCGUAGAUAUUCGGAGGAACACCAGCGGCGAAGGCGGCUUACUGGUCUGCAACUGACGCUGAGGCGCGAAAGCGUGGGGAGCAAACAGGAUUAGAUACCCGGGUAGUC